AGAGUUUGAUCCUGGCUCAGGAUGAACGCUGGCGGCGUGCCUAAUACAUGCAAGUCGAGCGAACGGACGAGAAGCUUGCUUCUCUGAUGUUAGCGGCGGACGGGUGAGUAACACGUGGAUAACCUACCUAUAAGACUGGGAUAACUUCGGGAAACCGGAGCUAAUACCGGAUAAUAUUUUGAACCGCAUGGUUCAAAAGUGAAAGACGGUCUUGCUGUCACUUAUAGAUGGAUCCGCGCUGCAUUAGCUAGUUGGUAAGGUAACGGCUUACCAAGGCAACGAUGCAUAGCCGACCUGAGAGGGUGAUCGGCCACACUGGAACUGAGACACGGUCCAGACUCCUACGGGAGGCAGCAGUAGGGAAUCUUCCGCAAUGGGCGAAAGCCUGACGGAGCAACGCCGCGUGAGUGAUGAAGGUCUUCGGAUCGUAAAACUCUGUUAUUAGGGAAGAACAUAUGUGUAAGUAACUGUGCACAUCUUGACGGUACCUAAUCAGAAAGCCACGGCUAACUACGUGCCAGCAGCCGCGGUAAUACGUAGGUGGCAAGCGUUAUCCGGAAUUAUUGGGCGUAAAGCGCGCGUAGGCGGUUUUUUAAGUCUGAUGUGAAAGCCCACGGCUCAACCGUGGAGGGUCAUUGGAAACUGGAAAACUUGAGUGCAGAAGAGGAAAGUGGAAUUCCAUGUGUAGCGGUGAAAUGCGCAGAGAUAUGGAGGAACACCAGUGGCGAAGGCGACUUUCUGGUCUGUAACUGACGCUGAUGUGCGAAAGCGUGGGGAUCAAACAGGAUUAGAUACCCUGGUAGUCCACGCCGUAAACGAUGAGUGCUAAGUGUUAGGGGGUUUCCGCCCCUUAGUGCUGCAGCUAACGCAUUAAGCACUCCGCCUGGGGAGUACGACCGCAAGGUUGAAACUCAAAGGAAUUGACGGGGACCCGCACAAGCGGUGGAGCAUGUGGUUUAAUUCGAAGCAACGCGAAGAACCUUACCAAAUCUUGACAUCCUUUGACAACUCUAGAGAUAGAGCCUUCCCCUUCGGGGGACAAAGUGACAGGUGGUGCAUGGUUGUCGUCAGCUCGUGUCGUGAGAUGUUGGGUUAAGUCCCGCAACGAGCGCAACCCUUAAGCUUAGUUGCCAUCAUUAAGUUGGGCACUCUAAGAUGACUGCCGGUGACAAACCGGAGGAAGGUGGGGAUGACGUCAAAUCAUCAUGCCCCUUAUGAUUUGGGCUACACACGUGCUACAAUGGACAAUACAAAGGGCAGCGAAACCGCGAGGUCAAGCAAAUCCCAUAAAGUUGUUCUCAGUUCGGAUUGUAGUCUGCAACUCGACUACAUGAAGCUGGAAUCGCUAGUAAUCGUAGAUCAGCAUGCUACGGUGAAUACGUUCCCGGGUCUUGUACACACCGCCCGUCACACCACGAGAGUUUGUAACACCCGAAGCCGGUGGAGUAACCUUUUAGGAGCUAGCCGUCGAAGGUGGGACAAAUGAUUGGGGUGAAGUCGUAACAAGGUAGCCGUAUCGGAAGGUGCGGCUGGAUCACCU
rnacentral:rRNA from 2 species